rnacentral:rRNA from 2 species
UCGAACGAUGAAGCCCUUCGGGGUGGAUUAGUGGCGAACGGGUGAGUAACACGUGGGCAAUCUGCCCUUCACUCUGGGACAAGCCCUGGAAACGGGGUCUAAUACCGGAUAACACCGGCUUCCGCAUGGGAGCUGGUUGAAAGCUCCGGCGGUGAAGGAUGAGCCCGCGGCCUAUCAGCUUGUUGGUGGGGUAAUGGCCCACCAAGGCGACGACGGGUAGCCGGCCUGAGAGGGCGACCGGCCACACUGGGACUGAGACACGGCCCAGACUCCUACGGGAGGCAGCAGUGGGGAAUAUUGCACAAUGGGCGAAAGCCUGAUGCAGCGACGCCGCGUGAGGGAUGACGGCCUUCGGGUUGUAAACCUCUUUCAGCAGGGAAGAAGCGAAAGUGACGGUACCUGCAGAAGAAGCGCCGGCUAACUACGUGCCAGCAGCCGCGGUAAUACGUAGGGCGCAAGCGUUGUCCGGAAUUAUUGGGCGUAAAGAGCUCGUAGGCGGCUUGUCACGUCGGGUGUGAAAGCCCGGGGCUUAACCCCGGGUCUGCAUCCGAUACGGGCAGGCUAGAGUGUGGUAGGGGAGAUCGGAAUUCCUGGUGUAGCGGUGAAAUGCGCAGAUAUCAGGAGGAACACCGGUGGCGAAGGCGGAUCUCUGGGCCAUUACUGACGCUGAGGAGCGAAAGCGUGGGGAGCGAACAGGAU